CACAUCAGUGGAGGGACGACGGAGACUGAUCCCAGCUGUGGGGAACUGCAGAAAGGCUGUGAGGGUCACACUCCAUGGCAGUCUCCUCAUCCUUCAUGGGAAACUGGGGAUCACUUCCAAAACUACAGGACAAGAGGUGACAAGGCAGACAGUGAUUCAUCAUAAUUCAUAAUUAAGAUUUCUGGAGGGUCACACUCCAUGGCAGUCUCCUCAUCCUUCAUGGGAAACUGGGGACCACUUCCAAAACAACAGGACAAGAGGUGACAAGGCAGACAGUGAUUCAGACUGGUAUCAGCAUGUGCCAGUUUAAGAGCAAAUAACUGGACCAAAAACCAAACUGCAAAGGCCUUGACCACCAGCAGAGGCAGUUCAUUGUAAUAGUAGAACCAUUGCAUAUGAUAUGACAGGAGAAUGACUAAAUAUCAUUCAUUCAUUCAUUUUCUACCGCUUAAUCCAUCAGGGUCGCGUAUCCCAGCUGACUAUGGGCGAGAGGCAGGGUACACCCUGGACUGGUCGCCAGUCAAUCGCAGG